GGGGCUAUGGUGUAGCUUGGUAUCACACAAGGCUGGGGGUCUUGUAACCGCAGUUCGAAUCUGCGUAGCCCCA
rnacentral:tRNA from 2 species